GGCGCCCCGGCCCGGAGCCCGAGAGCCCUCGACGCCCCCGCCGCGCCUCCCCCGCCUGGCCUGGCCCAGCGGCGUCCCCAGCGAAUUGUGUCGCUUUUCUGCCCUGGAAGCUCCCUCGGCCACGUUCCACUUUUUUUCCCAGUCCCAGGAGGCGUAAGAUAAAACCUCUGAUUUGCUGCGUGCUGCCGGGCACAUUCUCUGCCCUCUCGUCCGAAGGACGAGUUUAAAAUGGAGAGUUUAAAAUAAUAGCAUUUACAGGAGGAAAUAAAGAGCGAGGAGAUGGUUCUUUGGCCGGUUUUAAGACA
ensembl:lncRNA novel transcript, sense intronic to MLLT10